AGCGAACGCUGGCGGCAGGCCUAACACAUGCAAGUCGAGCGCCCAGCAAUGGGAGCGGCAGACGGGUGAGUAACGCGUGGGGAUCUGCCCAAUGGUACGGAAUAACCCAGGGAAACUUGGACUAAUACCGUAUGUGCCCUUCGGGGGAAAGAUUUAUCGCCAUUGGAUGAACCCGCGUCGGAUUAGCUAGUUGGUGAGGUAAAGGCUCACCAAGGCGAGGAUCCGUAGCUGGUCUGAGAGGAUGAUCAGCCACACUGGGACUGAGACACGGCCCAGACUCCUACGGGAGGCAGCAGUGGGGAAUAUUGGACAAUGGGCGCAAGCCUGAUCCAGCCAUGCCGCGUGAGUGAUGAAGGCCUUAGGGUUGUAAAGCUCUUUCGCCGGUGAAGAUAAUGACGGUAACCGGAGAAGAAGCCCCGGCUAACUUCGUGCCAGCCGCCGCCGUAAAAC
rnacentral:rRNA from 1 species